CCCCCCCCCGGGACAGCACAAUCUCACAUGCCCAUGAUCAGCUACAAUGUUCCACCUCUCCUUAUCACAUUCAUGUGGAACUGACCCACAGCCUCAGCCCUCAAUGACACCCAGAUUCCUGUCCAGGGAUGUGGGCCCUAUGGUAAGCAAGCUCCCCUAACCACCCACCCACCCACCCAUCCACAGACCUCUCUCCCCAGUGUCAUGGAGCUGUGGGUGUCACUGGGCUUCCCAGUACCUGGGCAGAAGGCUUCCUCCUGCCGGCUACCCCAUCUCCCCAGAUUCCCUGCCCAGGACCAAGCUAGAUGAGGCCUCAAGUUAGACAUGUCCCCACGGUCCAGAGCAGCCACUGACAGCUAUCUUUUAGACACAUUCCUUACUCAGAGUCCUUUCUAAGCCACCGACCAAGUCCCAAGAGAAGCUCGCCACCUCCUUCCACACCUUGUAGAGAGACAGGGCAGUGCAGUCCGGUCCCUCACUUCCUCAUCCGUGAAAUGAGAUGAAGAGAAGCCACAGCCUUCUCCUGGAGGAGACAGAUGCAGAGGAAAUGCCUGCUGAUGCCCAGAGAGGUUGGAUAACAUUGCCUAAGCCACACAGAGGACUGAAGAGAGAGGCUGGAGCAGGAAGACUGGGUGCAGAAGCAUUCGGACACAUAAAUUAGGUCAGCCGCCGGGGGCGAGGAGCCCAGAGCCCUGCUAAUCAUGCUGCAAAGGCUAGAACAAAAUCAAGUGUAAUUAAUUCUGCCCCAGCUUCCUUCCCCCAAGUCGCCAGAUUAGGGCUCCACUGUCCUGGUGACCAGAGACAAUGUGACCUGGGCUGAGAGCCCACCAUUAGGCUCGGAAAGUCUCGGUGAGUUCAAGUCAAGCUCUAUCUAUUUGCUGGGUAUCUCUGGGCAAGCUAUAUAACCUCUCUGAGCCUAUAUUUGGCUAAAUAGUGGCAAUAAUAACGUCUGCUUCGCAGAGCUGUUGUGGGAAUCCAGUAAGGCAGUGUAAGGAGUGUGAGCCACCAGGCGGAUGGUGGCUCCUGGCUCGUCUCUGGCUGAUGCCCCCACAGCAUGCAGUCCCACACCAGAUCUCAAUUUC
rnacentral:lncRNA from 1 species